rnacentral:lncRNA from 1 species
CAAGGUUUCUGGAUUGCAUUGGCAAACUACUCAAUAGAAAUUUAUAAAGGAUACUUUAAGAGCAGGAAAUCCCUUGUCAGGCAGAAAGCACUAUAGGCAGACAAUUCUCAUGUCCAAUGACUCCCACAUUAAAAAAAAAUGUUUCAUAUGAUUGAAAUCAUUUCAUUACCCAGCUCAUUCCUCUUAUCUGGAGGUAAUUUUUAACAGACUCCAGCCUCUUUUCCAGACACAAAUUUCCAGCCACUCUCCUUCAUGCCCCAAGAGGCCAUUUCAUAAGCAAGCUAACAUCAAUUCAAACAAGAUUCAUUUUUUCCAUCACUUUACACCCUAGAAAACUGAUACAGACUUCCCCAGUUGAAGUUUAAUACAGAACAUAGGUUUAUGAAGUGUGGAACCUCAUAGGUACUGCUGCUUCUCCAUUCUUUGGACUUGAAUUCUACCAACAGCUU